GUGGGGAAUAUUGGACAAUGGGCGAAAGCCUGAUCCAGCCAUGCCGCGUGAGUGAUGAAGGCCUUAGGGUUGUAAAGCUCUUUCAGUAGGGAAGAUAAUGACGGUACCUACAGAAGAAGCCCCGGCUAACUUCGUGCCAGCAGCCGCGGUAAUACGAAGGGGGCUAGCGUUGUUCGGAUUUACUGGGCGUAAAGCGCACGUAGGCGGAUUGGUCAGUUAGAGGUGAAAUCCUGGAGCUCAACUCCAGAACUGCCUUUAAUACUGCCAGUCUAGAGUCCAGAAGAGGUGAGUGGAACUCCUAGUGUAGAGGUGGAAUUCGUAGAUAUUAGGAAGUACACCAGUGGCGAAGGCGGCUCACUGGUCUGGUACUGACGCUGAGGUGCGAAAGCGUGGGGAGCAAACAGGAUUAGAAACCCUGGUAGUCC
rnacentral:rRNA from 1 species